AGAAAUAAAAACUGAAGAUGUAGGUCAAGAAGGUGAAGGCCAACCUCCAACUGAUGCUGAAGCGCCAAUUGAAGGUGAGGGUGAAACGGCUGCUACAGAAGAAACAGCAACUACUGGAGAAGCUCCAACCGAGGAAACGGGUGAAGGUGACAUCAAAACAGAAGAAGCACCUCCUGAGGGAGUCGAAGAAAGCCCAGAAGACAAACCCGAUGUUGACGAGAAUGUCACGGCUGAAGCUGAAAAUGCAGGAACUGAUAAUGAAACAACUGAAGUCACUGAAGAAAUUAAGACUGAGGUGACUGAAGAAGUUACUGAUACAGAACCUGCUUCUGAUGCGCCAGCUGAGGAGGUUCCUGAAUGAGAUGCCUGAUAAUG